rnacentral:rRNA from 1 species
GCGGAAGGAUCAUUACCAAAUAGUAAGGAGCCUCACGGCCCCUGCCUAUACCCUUGUCUUUUGAGUACCUCUGUUUCCUCGGCGGGCUUGCCCGCCGAUAGGACACUAUUCAACCUUUGCAGUUGCAGUCAGCGUCAGAAAACAUAAUUGUUACAACUUUCAACAAUGGAUCUCUUGGUUCUGGCAUCGAUGAAGAACGCAGCGAAAUGCGAAAAGUAGUGUGAAUUGCAGAAUUCAGUGAAUCAUCGAAUCUUUGAACGCACAUUGCGCCCCUUGGUAUUCCAUGGGGCAUGCCUGUUCGAGCGUCAUUUGUACCUUCAAGCUCUGCUUGGUGUUGGGUGUUUGUCCCGCAGUCAGCGCGGACUCGCCUCAAAGCUAUUGGCAGCCGGCGUACUUGCCUGGGAGCGCAGCACAUCUUGCGUCUCUCACCUGCACGGCGGCGUCCAUGAAGCCCACAUUUUAUCACUUGACCUCGGAUCAGGUAGGGAUACCCGCUGAACUUAAGCAUAUCAAUAA